rnacentral:rRNA from 1 species
UACGGAGGGUGCGAGCGUUGUCCGGAAUCACUGGGCGUAAAGGGCGCGUAGGCGGUCUGCUAAGCGUGCGGUGAAAGCCUGGGGCUCAACCCCAGGUCUGCCGUGCGAACUGGUGGGACUAGAGCACUGUAGAGGCAGGUGGAAUUUCGGGUGAGCGGUGGAAUGCGUAGAGAUCCGGAAAGAACACCGGUGGCGAAGGCGGCCUGACUGGGCAGU